UGUUGCUAUUCAGUUUUCUAACUUAAAACAGCCUAUGAUAGCUGACAGCAAAAAAGGUCCUCGCAAUAGACUGCCUCUGCUUGAGAACUUAUGAUGUAAUCAUUGCAUGCUGCUAAUAUACUAUCUAAACAUUAAAGAUACUCCUAAAAUAUUUGAUGGUAGACUAUGAUUAAGACAUUACACUACAAAAAAAAAACCCUUAUGCAGAAGGAAAUCCUAAACUGAUGUGCUUCUGCUUUAAAUAUUGUGAAAACAUUACAGCGGAAUGGAUUUUAGCAGUGGUUAGGUCAAAUGCAGUUACAUCAUAGCAACAGUAUGUUUUGCACAAUUUAAGGCUUUGGCUGGUUCAUUAGUCAGCUUCUUCCUCUGAUUCUUCUUUUUCAGCAGUUUCUAGCCAAGUCACCCACUGAUUCACCUGGAACAAAGCCUUGCCUUUUCCUGGAAACUCUUGGGUUACAUCUUCUUUCCAAGUCAAGAAAGCUUCCUCUUCAAUAAUUUCCAUGUCAUAGAAGUGAACAAAAAAGGAGAGUAACAUGCCUUUUGGGAAGUUGCUGUUAUAACAGUGCACCUGUAGAGCAUACAGGGCACUGACCUGUAGAUUAACAAGAUCAUGAAGAAAUUUCUGCAUCACUGGCUUGAAGGAAAGCAGCAGUUGUUUUUCCUGCUCUAACUGUCCUUUGGAAGGAGCAGAGGAAGAAUGUUUCAUUGCUGGGUGGGCUUACUUCACUAGAAAUAUACUGUAAGAAGCUAGUCAUUAAGAUGUUCACAAAUCCUUUAUCUACAUGAAAUUUGGGAGAGAUGUUAUCUUUUAUCCACUUACAUAUGGUUUGAGGGGAUGGGUCCAAAUUUAUUUGCUUCAACAGUUACUUCUCCAAUUUGAGGAGUGGGAAUAAGAAACUCAGUCCCUUUCCUUCCCAAAUCUCCAACGUACUAUCCUUAUUCUGAUCAAUUUCUGGGAGCAUUUUCUGCAUAUUGACCUUGCUUUGUUGGAAAAGUUCUGUUAGCCAUUCUUGAUCUUGUAAUUUAGCUAAUUGCUGAAGAGAUUGGAAAAUGGGUACCACUUUCCAGUGGUUGAGCUAGUAUGAAAAUGUUCACCAGCUCUGAAAUGAUGGCACAAGCUGCAAACUGUGCUAAGUAUGAUUUUACCAAAGGGAUGUCAACCUCCAGUUUGGGGCACUGGUCCAAAACAUUCAGGAAAGCCAGCAUGAAGUUGCCACUUGUGGCAAUCCCUUCCUGUUUGAGUAAACUGAUCAAAGAACUUGCUUUUUCUUUAUCUUCAUCACUUCUGUCUAGUGACAGGAUGAUUACUUUGCUUAACAUCUCAGGAAGAAAAUGUUUAGGAGCUCUCAUUUCUCUUACACCAUUGACAGACUCAUUUGCAUUUCUACUAUUCAGAUACUCAGUCACAAUAGUUUCAGUUAGUUUAAGUAGUUCUUCCUUUGAUGGUGGUGGCUUUUUGCUUGUCUUGGCAGCCUUUUCCUGGAUAAGUGGUGGAUUAGUUUUGAGACUGAGCUGAGGUGUCUGUCCCAGAGGUGGUGUUUGAGUGCAUGGUGGUUGUGCACUAGUUAUCUAGUGGUUGUGCACUAGUUAACUAGCACAUAGUUAUCUGGGCCUGAAGCUUUGGCGCUUGAAUUUUAUUCAUCAGGAAUGACUGAGCAGGCCUCAAGGUAAUUUCAUCUGCAUUAAGCUGUCCUUUCUUAGAAAACUGAGGUGGCAUAUCCUUCGACUGUCCUUGCAGCUGGGAUAAGAGUCCCUGAUUCUGGUUAUGGUAGAGCUGGUUUAGCCCUUGGCUUUUCAUAAACUUGCCUUCUAUUUCUCCAAACUGUGACUGUGUGGGAGGCAUGAUGUGUCCCCC
rnacentral:lncRNA from 1 species